rnacentral:rRNA from 1 species
GACAGAGGGUGCGAACGUUGUUCGGAAUUACUGGGCGUAAAGCGCGUGUAGGCGGCAGCGCAAGUCGGGCGUGAAAUCCCACGGCUCAACCGUGGAAGUGCACUCGAAACUGCGCAGCUAGAGUCCUGGAGAGGAAGGUGGAAUGCUUGGUGUAGAGGUGAAAUUCGUAGAUAUUCGGAAGAACACCAGUGGCGAAGGCGACUUACUGGACGAUUGUUGACGCUGAGGUGCGAAAGCGUGGGGAGCAAACAGG